AUUAUAACUAGGAAACAAGAAACCAUUGGACCAUUGGCGUUAUAGCAUGUUUAGCGUCCUGUUAUUUCUUUUGAAUUUGAGUAUAUCCUCUUAAAAAAAACUUGGAAUGAACAUCAAAUAAUUAACAAAUUAAAAAUAGCCUACUAAAUUUUUGCUAAAUUUGCUUAUACAUUCUAAACGGUUUCAAAUAAUUAGGAAACCGAUCUAACAGCGCUCGCCAGUGUCAAAAUGUUUGAAAUGGCCAAUCAAAUCAAAGAAGGCGGGGCUUGUUCAGUCAGAUACCGAGCGCGUGCAACGGUUUUAACGGCCUGGGAGUGUGAGUUUCAAGAGAAGCCAUAGCAACAAGCUUUUUUUUAUUGGAUCGGCUCAGCCAAUCAAAUUUGAGGACCAGAACUAAGCAUUUUUUUUACAAGAAAAUCCAAGAAAAAGCAGUUCCACUAAUUGAAAACACAACAGAAGACAACAGAAAAGCUCAGCGUGGCUGAGAACCAGACUGGCAGCCCACAUCAGAUUUAAACUGGAGCUCACAGCGCUUAGCCGGCAGAUUUGAGAGGUGAGUAAUGGAACAGUGGAGAGGGAAACAUCCCAGAAAAGAGUUGCCAUGACCAGCCAGCAGACCAGAGCAAUAAACAUACAGUGAGCUGACUUUCAAAUGAAGACUUUCGGUUCAGCGCUGCGGUGAAGGCCUGAUGGCUGCUGACGUGUGUGUGCGUGUGCUGUUCUGAAAGUGUGGGUUUAGCAUUUAUGCACUCCAGAAUGAGUGAAAGUUUGGUGCUCUUCUGUUUUUUCUUCUUGUUUUCACUGAUCUUGGAUCAGAUGGGUGUCUGUAUUGUGUCUAAUUUCAUCACAUUAAAAUACAGCAUUCAGCUUAAUGGGUGAAUGUCAUGAAAAUGGGUUUUUAAAGGGGUCCUUGAUUAUGAUUUCACAUUUUUAACUUCAGUUAGUGUGUAAUGUUGCUGUUUGAGCAUAAACAACAUCUGCAAAGUUACGACGCUCAAAGUUCAAUGCAAAGGGAGAUAUUUUCUUUUAUAGAAAUAGCUUUUUAAGGACUACAACAAACAGCUGGUAGGGACUACAACGAGCUUCUUCCCAGGUUGGUGACAUCACUAACCCUAGAAUUUACAUAAACCCCGCCCCCGAGAACACACAACAAAGGGGGUGAGGCCAUGUUGGGCUGCUUUAGAGAAGAGGGAGAGUUGUUGUAGUAAAGUGUUGUUACCAUGCCAUCAUUUUACGCCGGACUGCUUCACAAACGAGGGUCAAUUCAACACUGGAUUUGCACAAAAGAUUAACAUGACGGCACAUGCUAGUCGAUGAGUUGAAUCAACUCCACAGCAACUACAUAAAUUUAUCCACUAACCAUUCAGAAACGUCCAGUUUCAUUCUAAAAGUUGUAACUUCUUCCUGAGUCUCUCCAUCAGUGUCGACUCCGGUUUGAACAAUGUAAGGCUGAACAGCGUUACUGACAAUCCUCAUUUUGGCUGCGUGAGAUUCUCCAGCUUUGUUGUUGUUGAGCGACCGAAGCGCGAGCUGUUAAAACUCCGCCCUCUUCUGGAAAGGGGGCGGGAGCAGCAGCUCAUUUGCAUUUAAAGGGACACACACAAAAACGGCGUGUUUUUGCUCACACCCAAAUAGGGGCAAAUUUGACAAGCUAUAAUAAAUGAUCUGUGGGGGAUUUUGAGCUGAAACUUCAUAGAACUUCACAUUCAGGGAACAACAGAGACUUAUAUUACAUCUUGUGAAAUUGGCAUUAUAGGUCCCUUUUAAAUAAUAUAUUUUGUUGUGCAAUAUAAAUAAUAUAUAGCAUUACAAUAAUGAGAAUGUCCUGUUUUAUUUUAUAAUGUGAGCUGGACACGUUCUUGACGAGUUUUCGUGAGAUUCAGGGUUUGUGUUCAUGCUGUCUCACUGUUUCCCCAAAUGUUAAUCAUAGGCCUACUCUUAACCAUUUAUAGGAAAAUACACUGAUCUGAGAGUGGGGGAGAAUCAGACUGGGCUAAUGGCCAGAGAAACAAACUCUCAUUACACACACACACACACACACACACACAUACACAUGUUGGGUUUCCAUGUUUUAUGGAGACAUUCCAUAGACAAUGACUUUUAUACUAAACUGUAUAUUCUCUCCCCUUAACCAACCAUGACAGAAAACUUUCUGCAUUUUUACAUUUUCAAAAAACAUCACUUAGUAUAUUAUUUAUAAGCUGUUUUCCUCAUGAGAACCAAAAAAAAAAAAAAAAAAAUGUCCACAAGGUCAAAGAUUUCUGGUAUUACUAUGCCUGUGGGGACAUUUGGUCCCCAUAACAUUUGGUUUACCUGACCCACACACACACACACACACACACACUGGUGUUUAUACCAUGAGCACAUUUGUUGAGCAGUAUCAGCUCUGUUUGCACAUUUCCCACCUGGACAGCAGGUGCGUCUAUACAAAAAUGAUCAUCCUAGAUUACUCAUCUGAAUUUACUGCAGCCAGUAAAACCAUAAGAGUCAAGAGCUCCCAAAGUGUUAUUGCUCAGAGGCUUAAUGGAGAUCUUGUUACCUAUAGUGCGUUAUAAAUGAUCCACAUGACACAGGUUACCGUUAACGAUUGUAUUUAAGCACGAAGCAGAACAGAACAGCACAGCAUAUAUUGGCCUCCAUCAUUCUGCCCACGAAUGCAAGGCUCGGGGAAACCCCAAACGUGGGCCUUAAAGUAACACAUACACACACACAGACCGUUAAUAUACACCAUUACAAAGAAGUAUUGACUACUUUAGAAAUAAAUGAGUCAGUACUUGUCAUACAGUAAUUAUAAAUUAAUGUGGAGAACAGCCCAGACAAUUUAUUGAGAAUUUGCAUCUUUGACUGUAAAUAUAGACUUCUCAAUUAUCAUGUCAUUCAUGGCCAACCUACAAAUACACAGUUCAUUGUUCAUUUGACUUCCUCAUUUGUUAGCGGGAAUUGUUGUGUUGUUUAUAGUUGUGAAAUUACAUUGAGACUUUUACUGAAGUCUCCUGCUUCUCAGAAGAGUUUUCGAACUGAUCUCAACAACACUGUAAGAAAGAAAUCCAUUGAAUAACAGAAAAGGUACUGGUAAUUUUCUUCCAUAAAGUCUAUGGACAUUUCCUUGAACCCUAAAACACAACACAAUGCAAUGCGUAAUUUAAAAUAAAACAUCUGUGAAAAAUCAAUAUUUCGCAUUACAUUGUGUCCGGUUUUUACAGAUUUUUCUUAGAGUGAAUGCCUCAGACUGUUCUCAGAUUAAUAUCUGCAAUAAAAAGUGAUUUUAUAGCUCUAUUUUUAUAACUCUUGGCUCAUUUGUGUCUGUUUUUAUUUUUCCUAUAAGUAAUUUUAGGAGAAGCAUUACUGAAGGUCCUUCUAUCCUGCAGAAAUCAUGUCUUUGCAGGUUUUUCUGAUGCAGCAGUCUUUCUCUGUGCCAAACAUUUCGGAUGAUUUCACUGCAGACCUCAGAAAGCAAGAUCUGGAGGAGUUUAGAUGGAAACCCCUCAUUUACUCACGAGAGAAACUCAUGAGCAAUUACAGUAAGCCAAAGCCUUUCAUUUACUCUCACUCGCUCCAGCAUUUCUCAUUUUGCAUCUCUAUUUGUCAAAAUUUGUAGAUUAUCAUUACUUUUUUUUGGAAUAGUGGAAUAUUUUUUUUUUUUUUUUGUUACUUAUACUUUUAUUUUGAACCACAAAAUAACAUACAAUACAUUAUAAUAUUAGUUUUUAACAUGUUAGUCCAUCAUAUUCCAACAGCCUUGACAAUUAUUACAUUUUAAUUAC